rnacentral:rRNA from 1 species
UUAAGCGACUAAGCGUACACGGUGGAUGCCCUGGCAGUCAGAGGCGAUGAAGGACGUGCUAAUCUGCGAUAAGCGUCGGUAAGGUGAUAUGAACCGUUAUAACCGGCGAUUUCCGAAUGGGGAAACCCAGUGUGAUUCGUCACACUAUCAUUAACUGAAUCCAUAGGUUAAUGAGGCGAACCGGGGGAACUGAAACAUCUAAGUACCCCGAGGAAAAGAAAUCAACCGAGAUUCCCCCAGUAGCGGCGAGCGAACGGGGAGGAGCCCAGAGCCUGAAUCAGUGUGUGUGUUAGUGGAAGCGUCUGGAAAGGCGCGCGAUACAGGGUGACAGCCCCGUACACAAAAAUGCACAUGCUGUGAGCUCGAUGAGUAGGGCGGGACACGUGGUAUCCUGUCUGAAUAUGGGGGGGCCAUCCUCCAAGGCUAAAUACUCCUGACUGACCGAUAGUGAACCAGUACCGUGAGGGAAAGGCGAAAAGAACCCCGGCGAGGGGAGUGAAAAAGAACCUGAAACCGUGUACGUACAAGCAGUGGGAGCCUCUUAAUGGGGUGACUGCGUACCUUUUGUAUAAUGGGUCAGCGACUUAUAUUCUGUAGCAAGGUUAACCGAAUAGGGGAGCCGAAGGGAAACCGAGUCUUAACUGGGCGUUAAGUUGCAGGGUAUAGACCCGAAACCCGGUGAUCUAGCCAUGGGCAGGUUGAAGGUUGGGUAACACUAACUGGAGGACCGAACCGACUAAUGUUGAAAAAUUAGCGGAUGACUUGUGGCUGGGGGUGAAAGGCCAAUCAAACCGGGAGAUAGCUGGUUCUCCCCGAAAGCUAUUUAGGUAGCGCCUCGUGAAUUCAUCUCCGGGGGUAGAGCACUGUUUCGGCAAGGGGGUCAUCCCGACUUACCAACCCGAUGCAAACUGCGAAUACCGGAGAAUGUUAUCACGGGAGACACACGGCGGGUGCUAACGUCCGUCGUGAAGAGGGAAACAACCCAGACCGCCAGCUAAGGUCCCAAAGUCAUGGUUAAGUGGGAAACGAUGUGGGAAGGCCCAGACAGCCAGGAUGUUGGCUUAGAAGCAGCCAUCAUUUAAAGAAAGCGUAAUAGCUCACUGGUCGAGUCGGCCUGCGCGGAAGAUGUAACGGGGCUAAACCAUGCACCGAAGCUGCGGCAGCGACACUAUGUGUUGUUGGGUAGGGGAGCGUUCUGUAAGCCUGUGAAGGUGGCCUGUGAGGGUUGCUGGAGGUAUCAGAAGUGCGAAUGCUGACAUAAGUAACGAUAAAGCGGGUGAAAAGCCCGCUCGCCGGAAGACCAAGGGUUCCUGUCCAACGUUAAUCGGGGCAGGGUGAGUCGACCCCUAAGGCGAGGCCGAAAGGCGUAGUCGAUGGGAAACAGGUUAAUAUUCCUGUACUUGGUGUUACUGCGAAGGGGGGACGGAGAAGGCUAUGUUGGCCGGGCGACGGUUGUCCCGGUUUAAGCGUGUAGGCUGGUUUUCCAGGCAAAUCCGGAAAACCAAGGCUGAGGCGUGAUGACGAGGCACUACGGUGCUGAAGUGACAAAUGCCCUGCUUCCAGGAAAAGCCUCUAAGCAUCAGGUAACAUCAAAUCGUACCCCAAACCGACACAGGUGGUCAGGUAGAGAAUACCAAGGCGCUUGAGAGAACUCGGGUGAAGGAACUAGGCAAAAUGGUGCCGUAACUUCGGGAGAAGGCACGCUGAUAUGUAGGUGAAGCGACUUGCUCGUGGAGCUGAAAUCAGUCGAAGAUACCAGCUGGCUGCAACUGUUUAUUAAAAACACAGCACUGUGCAAACACGAAAGUGGACGUAUACGGUGUGACGCCUGCCCGGUGCCGGAAGGUUAAUUGAUGGGGUUAGCGGUAACGCGAAGCUCUUGAUCGAAGCCCCGGUAAACGGCGGCCGUAACUAUAACGGUCCUAAGGUAGCGAAAUUCCUUGUCGGGUAAGUUCCGACCUGCACGAAUGGCGUAAUGAUGGCCAGGCUGUCUCCACCCGAGACUCAGUGAAAUUGAACUCGCUGUGAAGAUGCAGUGUACCCGCGGCAAGACGGAAAGACCCCGUGAACCUUUACUAUAGCUUGACACUGAACAUUGAGCCUUGAUGUGUAGGAUAGGUGGGAGGCUUUGAAGUGUGGACGCCAGUCUGCAUGGAGCCGACCUUGAAAUACCACCCUUUAAUGUUUGAUGUUCUAACGUUGGCCCCUAAUCGGGGUUGCGGACAGUGUCUGGUGGGUAGUUUGACUGGGGCGGUCUCCUCCUAAAGAGUAACGGAGGAGCACGAAGGUUGGCUAAUCCUGGUCGGACAUCAGGAGGUUAGUGCAAUGGCAUAAGCCAGCUUGACUGCGAGCGUGACGGCGCGAGCAGGUGCGAAAGCAGGUCAUAGUGAUCCGGUGGUUCUGAAUGGAAGGGCCAUCGCUCAACGGAUAAAAGGUACUCCGGGGAUAACAGGCUGAUACCGCCCAAGAGUUCAUAUCGACGGCGGUGUUUGGCACCUCGAUGUCGGCUCAUCACAUCCUGGGGCUGAAGUAGGUCCCAAGGGUAUGGCUGUUCGCCAUUUAAAGUGGUACGCGAGCUGGGUUUAGAACGUCGUGAGACAGUUCGGUCCCUAUCUGCCGUGGGCGCUGGAGAACUGAGGGGGGCUGCUCCUAGUACGAGAGGACCGGAGUGGACGCAUCACUGGUGUUCGGGUUGUCAUGCCAAUGGCACUGCCCGGUAGCUAAAUGCGGAAGAGAUAAGUGCUGAAAGCAUCUAAGCACGAAACUUGCCCCGAGAUGAGUUCUCCCUGAGACUUAGAGUCUCCUGAAGGAACGUUGAAGACGACGACGUUGAUAGGCCGGGUGUGUAAGCGCAGCGAUGCGUUGAGCUAACCGGUACUAAUGAACCGUGAGGCUUAACCUU